rnacentral:rRNA from 1 species
GGCGUAGAGGGCUCGCAGGCGGUUUCUUAAGUCUGAUGUGAAAGCCCCCGGCUCAACCGGGGAGGGUCAUUGGAAACUGGGGAACUUGAGUGCAGAAGAGGAGAGUGGAAUUCCACGUGUAGCGGUGAAAUGCGUAGAGAUGUGGAGGAACACCAGUGGCGAAGGCGACUCUCUGGUCUGUAACUGACGCUGAGGAGCGAAAGCGUGGGGAGCGAACAGGAUUAGAUACCCUGGUAGUCCACGCCGUAAACGAUGAGUGCUAAGUGUUAGGGGGUUUCCGCCCCUUAGUGCUGCAGCUAACGCAUUAAGCACUCCGCCUGGGGAGUACGGUCGCAAGACUGAAACUCAAAGGAAUUGACGGGGGCCCGCACAAGCGGUGGAGCAUGUGGUUUAAUUCGAAGCAACGCGAAGAACCUUACCAGGUCUUGACAUCCUCUGACAAUCCUAGAGAUAGGACGUCCCCUUCGGGGGCAGAGUGACAGGUGGUGCAUGGUUGUCGUCAGCUCGUGUCGUGAGAUGUUGGGUUAAGUCCCGCAACGAGCGCAACCCUUGAUCUUAGUUGCCAGCAUUCAGUUGGGCACUCUAAGGUGACUGCCGGUGACAAACCGGAGGAAGGUGGGGAUGACGUCAAAUCAUCAUGCCCCUUAUGACCUGGGCUACACACGUGCUACAAUGGACAGAACAAAGGGCAGCGAAACCGCGAGGUUAAGCCAAUCCCACAAAUCUGUUCUCAGUUCGGAUCGCAGUCUGCCACUCGACUGCGUGAAGCUGGAAUCGCUAGUAAUCGCGGAU